rnacentral:misc_RNA from 1 species
UACGGGGGGGGCAAGCGUUGUUCGGAAUUACUGGGCGUAAAGGGCACGCAGGCGGACAGGGAAGUUCUGGGUGAAAUCCCCCGGCUUAACCGGGGAAGUGCCUGGAAAACCACCUGUCUUGAGUGCUGGAGAGGGAAGCGGAAUUCCUGGUGUAGCGGUGAAAUGCGUAGAUAUCAGGAGGAACACCGGAGGCGAAGGCGGCUUCCUGGACAGACACUGACGCUGAGGUGCGAAAGCCAGGGGAGCAAACGGG